CUCGAAAAAUGGCGGAGCCCGAGCGGCGAGACGGGCACACCGGCGGGCCCCUUCUUCGCAAGGCGGGCAGCGGGCGGGCCUAGGUGUUUCGUACCCCCUUCCCUCCGUUGCCGGGUCUUUCCGGCGGAAAAAAUCGGGGAGGGCAGUGGCGCCGAGUGUCCACGGCGACGGGCACGGGCGGGAGGCAGCAAUUGCAGUGUGAGUGCGGGGAGUAGUAGAGGACCGUGGAAGAGGGGGAGGGAGGGCAUGGAGGCAGGUACGAGAGCGAGAGGACUCGGAGGAGGGAGGAACACAAACGACCACUAGGGGAGGGGCAGGCACCGGCGGUAACCGCGGCAGGCACGAGCGGGUUCUCUACCGCUUUCACUGGGACUAGAAGUUCGAUGGCAUGAUGUGCCUUACCCCCGUCUCGGAGUAGUAGCGGCCGAGGCGCGGCCGCGAGCCCAGGACCUUGCAGUUCGUCCCCGACCGGGACUCGGGCCAAGUGCUCCCCUUGCGCGACCAGACCACGCCGGUCCAAAGUCAGGGCCGACAGAAGUGGACACUCAUGUCGAUGGUACACCACCUGCUGGUGUUCUUGCAAGAGUCUGCCCUCCGGCCCCUCUUCUUCUUCGAUCACCACGGCCUCCCGCAGUUCCUGCCGCUGCAGCAGCUCCAGGCGCUGACCACCGUCCUACGAAGACUUCGAGAAAAGGAGGCUUCACGCAAGUUCUUGCAGUAAAAGUCGCGUUGACUAUUACGAUUUUCCGUUGACGUCAGAGGAAGGGAGUCGUUUUGAAACCUAGGACUUCUAUAACAGCACGUUAAAUAAUAGUCAACAGGAGCCGAUCGUCGACCGAGAUGACAACAGCAGUGUCCUUCAUUAGAGCGCCAUCCUUUAACCUUUCGAGUUUUACCGGAGUUCGAGUUGAUACAACCUCUAAGGUAAACCUUUCGGAUGACACACAACGCCUUCAGACUCAAGGGUCAUUUUAUAUUCAUGACAGUUCAAUCACUUCGUCCUCAGAGAAGUAACCUCAAACCGGGUUUGUCUCUCCAACUACACCUAAAUAGUAGUGGGUUCGGUAGGUCUGUGUAGAAUAAUAGACUACCGAGGGAGGCCCUUCGUGGUACCUCCCCACGACCACAACGGCAUGGCUACAAGAGUUAGUCCAGUUUACUCCUAGAACCACAACCUCUUAAGGGUCUAGAAUUUGAAGAACAACUGACCCGUCAUUUAAGCCCAAAAGUAGAACAAGUCGAGGAAGGAUAGUUACUAUGAAGACAAUUGUUCUACACCACCCUAAGUAUAGGUAUAUCGAGUGAGAGGCAUAAACGCAACGUGGGGAACAUGGACUCUCACGUCCGCGAAAGUCUACGAUAAGGUCGUCUACAAUUCCUUCUCUAAUGCUUCCGUUUCUUCCUCAACCUGUUUUUCCUGCAGCUGAUACUCCGUCGCAACAGGUGCUUUGAGUCUUAACGGGUUUUUUAUAAAUUAAAUCUUUUCCUAUUUCACGAUUUAAGUCGAGGCAAGUUCGUCAAGAAUAGACUUUUACUCCUUACCAACUUCGGUAUACGACGUAAAACGAAAGAAGCCCUAAAGAAGCUCUGUAGUCUAGUGUCGGUCACCCCAGCCAAAAGAGUCAAAAGGUUCCUCUUCGAACUGUUCGAUCAGCGUCGUCUACGAAACGUGGUGCUAUAAUAUGCGAAGGUGAUGAUACAGGUUAUAGUAGAUAAAUGUGUUAAUAGUCUACGUCGAUGUAUACGUUCCUUCUUGUUCCAAUAAGACUUUCCUCUAAAUGGAUAACCACAACUAUCCUUGUCGCACCUAUGAACCCAUUUGGGAUGUAAUAAAGCGUACUUAUGGCGAUGACCACGUGGAGGUCUAAUGAAACGGUUUUCACCUGUUUUAACCCCAAAAGGAUGUAUAUUGACCCUCCUCUACAGUUUCCUAUUAAUACCCACCACCGCUCGAGCAGACUGUGUCGAUAGUUUUAAGAAGUGUCGCAUAUCCUAUCUGGUAUAAAACCCAAAGAAAUCCUAGACCCUCGAAGGUCUAGUACGACGGUGUCCAGAUACACCUUUUAAAUCUGGAAGUUAAGGAGAAUCAGUCCUCCUCGAAGAUCCACUACCAUAGACCCUAAAACUAGCCUACUCGGCGGGUAUAUAAGCAGUCCUGUACGACCUCCUCUUCAAACCUAGAGAAACCUGUUAACAACGUCGGUUGAAAGACGUGCUCAUAGUCUUUGUGACGAUACUCAAGUUUCUCCUUACGUUGUGGCUCUUUUUCUAAUAAUGUUUCUAAUUUUGGUCAGGACUUUUUAGUGAGACCGACCUCUUUCUUCUGUCAUAAGUCGCACCAGACAAGCUAGAAGAUGUCUUAUAUCAGGAGUAGUCUCUAGGACUCCUGAGGUGUUUCAUGAUAGGGGCAAAAUUGGACCUUCUAUGAAGUUCAAAAUCCCUGAAUCUACUUGUAUCGUUUUUACAGGAAUCUUCUAAUAUGGUACUGAUAAUAAAGCAAGCGGUUCUUUUAGAAACCGCUGUUUUACGUGACUUCUGAGAUGGACAAGAUAACCUGACAAGCCUAUACAACCGUACGCCCCUUCUAGAACCGGAAUAGGGACGAACACAAGUGGGACAAUACGAUCUUGAGCGCAACUAACCUAACGCAUAGGUCUCUUACGGAUCGCUUGGUCCGAACCUUAAACUAUAAGGCAGGUUCAUGUCGAUAUACUGCCAAACACGAGGGAGUACAGUACUAACGAGGUGUAAUGCACGAACCACCCUUCCUCUACUUCCCUGUUCUUCAGCAAAAAUGUUCUGACAUUAACCGUCGCUGUUUCUCCGGGGUAGAGCAACGUGGGGUCUUCAUCACUUGAAGUAAGAAGUCGUCGUAAAGCUACGUGGCAGUUACACCCGUUAGAAAGGCGAUGUCCUAGACGAGCGAGACUUUCUGUUUAUGUGGCGUUCUGGUCGUCGCCUCCUUUGUUAGUUGCUAGGGUGAUUGGGCUCCGUAAUAACCUCUAAGGCGGAUGUACACAGUGACCUCAGGUAUGACCUCCUGUUCCUGUAGGUCCGCUCGUAGUUCUUGGAGCAGUGUUCGUCGCCCUCCAGUAAGGGACCGUUCUUUUGCCUGUUCCGGAUCAGCUGGCCGUUUAGCAUCCUUGUUGUUUCCUGGCGCUUCUUGCCAGUCAGCAGCGGCUCGCCCUAGUACUAGUGCUCUUUAUAUAUAUAUCCUAUUAUUCCACCACAUAACGGCGGUACAGGCAACUCGACUACAAACAAAGUCGAUCUCUUUAGCAAUGCGGGCGAGUAUUAAAAAGCUGCGAUACCUUUUAUUAUUGAUGACCAUAUAGUGAGAUAUAGUUUGGCCGAACACUUUAUUUACCAACGCGGGGCCAAAAAACAGCAGUUCUAGA
rnacentral:rRNA from 1 species